ensembl:lincRNA 1700011D18Rik RIKEN cDNA 1700011D18 gene
GCAGUGAGAAGGGAAGUUCGGAAGAGCAAGACUCCAUGCAGCUAAGGAGCAGCGCAGCGCACCCUGGCGUCGGGAGGAGAGAUCGAGGCUAUAGGGGCUGCAUAAGCCCAGGACCAAGUGAUCCAAGGCACUUUCAUAACUACUAUGAGUAGAAGUUAAGUUUUCACCUGCUUCUUGCAUACUGGUGGAAGAUGGAUUAUACAUGCACCAUGUCACUGCGUUUUCCAUGCUCGUGAUUGCACAUGGGGAUACAAUAAAAGCUUCUGUACUAAAUGAA